rnacentral:rRNA from 1 species
UACAGAGGUCUCAAGCGUUGUUCGGAUUCAUUGGCGUAAAGGGUGCGUAGGCGGCGCGGUAAGUCGGAUGUGAAAACUCGGGGCUCAACCCCGAGCGUGCACCCGAUACUGCCGGGCUUGAGGCAGGUAGGGAGAUCGGAAUUCCUGGUGUAGCGGUGAAAUGCGCAGAUAUCAGGAGGAACACCGGUGGCGAAGGCGGAUCUCUGGGCCUGUCCUGACGCUGAGGCGCGAAAGCUAGGGGAGCGAACAGG